rnacentral:rRNA from 1 species
CGUAGGUGCAAGCAUUAUCCGGAGUGACUGGGCGUAAGAGUUGCGUAGGUGGUCAGUAAGUGAAUAGUGAAUCUGGUGGCUCAACCAUUCAGGCUAUUAUUCAAACUCACUGACUCGAGAAUAGCAGAGGUAACUGGAAUUUCUUGUGUAGGAGUGAAAUCCGUAGAUAUAAGAAGGAACACCAAUGGCGUAGGCAGGUUACUGGGCUAUUUCUGACACUGAGGCACGAAAGCGUGGGAGCGAACGGGAUU